ACGCUCGACACCUACGUGAGGCAGCAGUGGGGAAUAUUGCACAAUGGGGGAAACCCUGAUGCAGCGACGCCGCGUGGAGGAAGAAGGUCUUCGGAUUGUAAACUCCUGUUGUUGGGGAAAAGNGGAUGGUACCCAACAAGGAAGUGACGGCUAACUACGUGGCAGCAGCCGCGGUAAUCUGAGCGGGCUGGCAAGGC
rnacentral:rRNA from 1 species